UUGAAAAAUUGAAAAUUCACUGAGUUAUCCUGGGUUCCCUGAAAAGUUUACCGGAAAAACCACUAACUUUGAACUCAAUUUCCCUGGCCAGUUCUAAAUAAAAGGGAACGCGUUAGGGGACGCGUUGGAAAGCUGGUGACUAGCA